UACGAAGGGUGCAAACGUUGCUCGGAAUCAUUGGGCGUAAAGCGCACGUAGGCGGCCUGUUAAGUCGGAUGUGAAAUCCCUCGGCUCAACCGAGGACGUGCAUUCGAAACUGGCAGCUCGAGUAUGGAAGAGGGUCGCGGAAUUCCCGGUGUAGAGGUGAAAUUCGUAGAUAUCGGGAGGAACACCAGUGGCGAAGGCGGCGACCUGGGCCAAUACUGACGCUGAGGUGCGAAAGCGUGGGUAGCAAACAGG
rnacentral:rRNA from 1 species